rnacentral:rRNA from 1 species
GGAUGCGAUGAUACCAGCACUAAUACACCGGAUCCCAUCAGAACUUCGCAGUUAAGCGUGCUUGGGCGAGAGUAGUACUAGGAUGGGUGACCUCCCGGGAAGUCCUCGUGUUGUAUCCC